rnacentral:rRNA from 1 species
UCCCUAUGGGGUGCAGCAGGCGCAAAAACUUUACAAUGCGGGAAACCGUGAUAAGGGGACACCGAGUGCCAGCAACAUUUGUUGGCUGUCCAGGUGUGUAAACUACACCUGUUAGCAAGGGCCGGGCAAGACCGGUGCCAGCCGCCGCGGUAACACCGGCGGCCCGAGUGGUGAUCGUGAUUAUUGGGUCUAAAGGGUCCGUAGCCGGUUUGGUCAGUCCUCCGGGAAAUCUGACGGCUUAACCGUUAGGCUUUCGGGGGAUACUGCCAGGCUUGGAACCGGGAGAGGUAAGAGGUACUACAGGGGUAGGAGUGAAAUCUUGUAAUCCCUGUGGGACCACCUGUGGCGAAGGCGUCUUACCAGAACGGGUUCGACGGUGAGGGACGAAAGCUGGGGGCACGAACCGGAUUAGAUACCCGGGUAGUCCCGGCCGUAAACGAUGCUCGCUAGGUGUCAGGCAUGGCGCGACCGUGUCUGGUGCCGCAGGGAAGCCGUGAAGCGAGCCACCUGGGAAGUACGGCCGCAAGGCUGAAACUUAAAGGAAUUGGCGGGGGAGCACAACAACGGGUGGAGCCUGCGGUUUAAUUGGAUUCAACGCCGGAA